ACAUGAGGAUAACCCAUGU
rnacentral:misc_RNA from 1 species